rnacentral:rRNA from 1 species
GCUUGUCUCAAAGAUUAAGCCAUGCAUGUCUAAGUAUAAGCAAUUAUACCGCGAAACUGCGAAUGGCUCAUUAUAUAAGUUAUCGUUUAUUUGAUAAUACUUUACUACUUGGAUAACCGUGGUAAUUCUAGAGCUAAUACAUGCUAAAAAUCCCGACUUCGGAAGGGUUGUAUUUAUUAGAUUAAAAACCAAUGCCCCUCGGGGCUCUCUGGUGAAUCAUGAUAACUAGUCGAAUCGACAGGCCUUGUGCCGGCGAUGGCUCAUUCAAAUUUCUUCCCUAUCAACUUUCGAUGUUUGGGUAUUGUCUAAACAUGGUGGCAACGGGUAACGGAGGGUUAGGGCUCGACCCCGGAGAAGGAGCCUGAGAAACGGCUACUACAUCCAAGGAAGGCAGCAGGCGCGCAAAUUACCCAAUCCCGACUCGGGGAGGUAGUGACAAUAAAUACUGAUACAGGGUUCUUUUGGAUCUUGUAAUUGGAAUGAGUACAAUUUAAAUCCCUUAACGAGGAACAAUUGGAGG